rnacentral:rRNA from 1 species
GUCUAUGGCCAAAUGGCUCUGAAUGUGCCCCAUCUCUUGAUCCCAGAAGCUAAGCAGGGAGGGUCCUGAUUAAUACUUGAAUGGGACACAACUUGGGAAUACCUGAUGCUGUAAGAU